rnacentral:misc_RNA from 1 species
AACGCACAUUGCGCCCAUUGGUAUUCCUUUGGGCAUGUCUGUUUGAGCGUCAUUACAACCCUCAGCUACCCGCUGGUUUUGAACCCGAACGGUUUCCCCCUAAUAGGGGAUCCGAGCCGGUUUUAAAGUUGUAAGCUCUGCUGGCCGCUCCGCCUCCAACCAGAACAUAGUAAAACACUACUUUUGUUAGGGUCAAGCGGAACGGUUUUUCGGCCUGGAAAAAACCUACCCAUUUCUCAAGGUUUGACCUCAGAUCAGACAAGGAUACCCGCUGAACUUAA